GUACACAAAAAUGCACAUAUUGUGAGCUCGAUGAGUAGGGCGGGACACGUGGUAUCCUGUCUGAAUAUGGGGGGACCAUCCUCCAAGGCUAAAUACUCCUGACUGACCGAUAGUGAACCAGUACCGUGAGGGAAAGGCGAAAAGAACCCCGGCGAGGGGAGUGAAAAAGAACCUGAAACCGUGUACGUACAAGCAGUGGGAGCCUCUUUAUGGGGUGACUGCGUACCUUUUGUAUAAUGGGUCAGCGACUUAUAUUCUGUAGCAAGGUUAACCGAAUAGGGGAGCCGAAGGGAAACCGAGUCUUAACUGGGCGUUAAGUUGCAGGGUAUAGACCCGAAACCCGGUGAUCUAGCCAUGGGCAGGUUGAAGGUUGGGUAACACUAACUGGAGGACCGAACCGACUAAUGUUGAAAAAUUAGCGGAUGACUUGUGGCUGGGGGUGAAAGGCCAAUCAAACCGGGAGAUAGCUGGUUCUCCCCGAAAGCUAUUUAGGUAGCGCCUCGUGAAUUCAUCUCCGGGGGUAGAGCACUGUUUCGGCAAGGGGGUCAUCCCGACUUACCAACCCGAUGCAAACUGCGAAUACCGGAGAAUGUUAUCACGGGAGACACACGGCGGGUGCUAACGUCCGUCGUGAAGAGGGAAACAACCCAGACCGCCAGCUAAGGUCCCAAAGUCAUGGUUAAGUGGGAAACGAUGUGGGAAGGCCCAGACAGCCAGGAUGUUGGCUUAGAAGCAGCCAUCAUUUAAAGAAAGCGUAAUAGCUCACUGGUCGAGUCGGCCUGCGCGGAAGAUGUAACGGGGCUAAACCAUGCACCGAAGCUGCGGCAGCGACACUAUGUGUUGUUGGGUAGGGGAGCGUUCUGUAAGCCUGUGAAGGUGGCCUGUGAGGGUUGCUGGAGGUAUCAGAAGUGCGAAUGCUGACAUAAGUAACGAUAAAGCGGGUGAAAAGCCCGCUCGCCGGAAGACCAAGGGUUCCUGUCCAACGUUAAUCGGGGCAGGGUGAGUCGACCCCUAAGGCGAGGCCGAAAGGCGUAGUCGAUGGGAAACAGGUUAAUAUUCCUGUACUUGGUGUUACUGCGAAGGGGGGACGGAGAAGGCUAUGUUGGCCGGGCGACGGUUGUCCCGGUUUAAGCGUGUAGGCUGGUUUUCCAGGCAAAUCCGGAAAACCAAGGCUGAGGCGUGAUGACGA
rnacentral:rRNA from 1 species